GGAACUACUUGGCUUGAGUGCAGGAGAGGAGAGUGGAAUUCCUAGUGUAGCGGUGAAAUGCGUAGAUAUUAGGAGGAACACCAGUGGCGAAGGCGACUCUCUGGACUGUAACUGACGCUGAGGCACGAAAGCGUGGGGAGCAAACAGGAUUAGAUACCCUGGUAGUCCACGCCGUAAACGAUGAGUGCUAGGUGUCGGGGGUUCACACCCUCGGUGCCGGAGUUAACGCAAUAAGCACUCCGCCUGGGGAGUACGGUCGCAAGACUGAAACUCAAAGGAAUUGACGGGGACCCGCACAAGCAGCGGAGCAUGUGGUUUAAUUCGAAGCAACGCGAAGAACCUUACCAGGACUUGACAUCCCUUUGACAGCACCUUAACCGGAGCCUUCCCUUCGGGGACAAAGGAGACAGGUGGUGCAUGGUUGUCGUCAGCUCGUGUCGUGAGAUGUUGGGUUAAGUCCCGCAACGAGCGCAACCCUUGCCUUUAGUUGCCAUCAGUAAGGCUGGGCACUCUAGAGGGACUGCCGGUGACAAACCGGAGGAAGGUGGGGAUGACGUCAAAUCAUCAUGCCCCUUAUGUUCUGGGCUACACACGUGCUACAAUGGCUGGUACAACGGGCAGCGAAGGAGUGAUCCGGAGCGAAUCCUACAAAGCCAGUCCUAGUUCGGAUUGUGGGCUGCAACUCGCCCACAUGAAGCCGGAGUUGCUAGUAAUCGUGAAUCAGAAUGUCGCGGUGAAUGCGUUCCCGGGUCUUGUACACACCGCCCGUCACACCAUGGGAGCUCAGGGCACCCGAAGUCAGCACUAGGCGCAAGCUGAAGCUGCCGAAGGUGAAAUGAGUGACUGGGGUG
rnacentral:rRNA from 1 species